rnacentral:rRNA from 1 species
CAGCAGCCACGGGAAUACGGAGGGUGCAAGCGUUAAUCGGAAUUACUGGGCGUAAAGCGCACGCAGGCGGUCUGACAAGUCAGAUGUGAAAUCCCCGGGCUUAACCUGGGAACUGCAUUUGAAACUGUCAGGCUGGAGUCUUGUAGAGGGGGGUAGAAUUCCAGGUGUAGCGGUGAAAUGCGUAGAGAUCUGGAGGAAUACCGGUGGCGAAGGCGGCCCCCUGGACAAAGACUGACGCUCAGGUGCGAAAGCGUGGGGAGCAAACAGGAUUAGAUACCCGUGUAGUCCCUGUCUCUUAUAA